AGGCUGUACCCCCUGCCUCCCCCCUCCGUGGAGGCGCUAGCCUACUCCACCUACCCCAGCUCCCUCCCCUACAACAAUAUUCACUAUACAAUAGGGUAGACCUCAUGGAUGGGACACAGUGGCACUAACAGUGGUUAAAUGUCUGAGCAAGGGCAAGGAAAGAAAAGACAAGUGUAGGGAAAGUAAAUCAACAGAAAAAUAUGAAGGAGGCAUAUAUACAGUAAACAUGCCUAUAAACGACGAUAGGCUAGAAAUGUCACAUUCAAACGCAGUGUGAAGCAUUCGCUAUGACCCAAAAAAAUCCCACCCAAAGAAAACAAUAUAUAAAAAGGAAAUGGCAACACCAUCUGAUUUCCUGGUAUGCGUCCCCCGAUAGAAGAGAGUCUGGCGGAUAAUGUUGAAUGCACUUCCAAUCAUCAGUUGCACAUUAAAGGCCCAAUCCAAGGUUGGACCAAGGAAAGCCCCCAUGCUCCCCCCACCCAACAAAAUAAUGCAGGAUGUGUCCCCCUUUAGAUAAGCUCCAACACAAACGCUGCCAAAAAAUAAAAAAGAGAGAGGCAAUCCCAUAUCAUAGUAGGCCUCCCCUGGCAUAACCAAGUAUGGCUCGCGAGUAGGUAUGAUGGUGCCUCCAAACGUCAGGAGCUUAGUAAAGUCUCAACCCGUGGGUGGAUCAUGGAGAAUCCCCAGAUACUCGCCACACAAAUAAAAAGGAGAAACAAACAGAAUGGAGGGAUGAGAAAUGUACCUCAGGCCCAGGGUGUUCACCAUGGAGUCGUAGGUGGGUGCAGGCAAGCAGGUGCAGUCCACUCUGAAGUCUCAAUCCCCGGGUACAGCAGGAUCUGGGCGCCGUCGGGGCAGAGGGCCUGGCAGAGAUCUACUUGCACAAAAUCUGGGAGCUCUCUGCGGCCGAGGCCUCUGCUCCAAGGGUCCCAGCACCCAGUUGAUGACAGUAGUGGGGGGCAGCCCCAUUUCUUCCAGGAACUGUGGAACAUCUUAUGGAGGCCCAGCCGUGCUGAUGUCGUUCCAACAAUGCAAAUGGGGUGCCCCACUUUUAACGGAUGUUGCAGUCCCGCAAGGCUGCAGUCACGGGCCUCCGCGCACACCGCUCUUCAAGCAUAAGAGAAGAGAGCGUCUCCUCCUCCACAUUUUCCUCCCCAUCCACUUCGGGUACCUUGAUGUUACACAGCCGACCUUUGUUGUCCAAAUCCUCCAGAUGGCAUCUCAUGGCAAGUAGCAUCCCACCUUGACAAGCUCAGCCUGGCGCUCCAGUGUGUGGAUGCGGCCUUCCUGUGCAGUGACCUCAGUCCGCAGGCCUGCCACCGCCGCCCGCACCGCAUCCUGAAUUGUGGACGUGAGGUGCUGAAGGUUGGCCUUGGUGGACAUAGCGGCAGCCAUGGUCUUCAAUUCUUCCCCAAUCCUGUUGUGUCGUGAGGUCGGAACCUGCACAACAAUAUAUUGAGUCAAUUCUCCAGCAGAUCUCAUUUUUGCUUCCCUUUACCUUCUUAAAUAUAGUAAAAUCAUACUUGUAUUAAAGUCUGCAGCUGCUGCGUAUGCCCUUAUCUGGCUGCUUGGCUGACAUCACAAGUGAUUCUCUGAGCUAAUCACAAUGCUUACCCAUUGUAUUGGCUGAAACUGUCAAGCAGGCAGAUCAGGGGCAGAGCCAGCACAAAUCAAACACAGCCCUGGCUUGAAUCAAUGCAUCUCUAUGAGGAAAGUUCAGUGUCUCCAUGCAGAGGGUAGAGACCAUGAAAGAUGGCUGCUACAGGUGCUUGCAGCACUACCAAAGGAUUGGCCAGUG